AAAAAAAAAUGAAAGAAAAAAAAGUAAAACACAAGACCCCAUAGAUAGUAGUUCUUUUUGUUGUUGUUCCAAUAUACACACACUUAGUCGUUUUUCUUC
rnacentral:ribozyme from 1 species